rnacentral:lncRNA from 1 species
GUCCUUCAUAUUUCACAAGCUACAAACAUCUUUAUUUCUUUCCCUCCCUAAGAAUCAAUCUCUCUCUCAUAUUCAAGCAUAGAUGGUAUAUAAUUAAGCCUAAAUCUUAUUCCCAUACUUUGUUUAUAUUUGUCAUAAUGCAAUGUGCAUAAGUGUAGUGGAGAUGAUUUAAACAGCUAGAAAGGUUGGUCUUAGAAAGAUGGGAAGAAUCAUUGUUGGAGGUGAAAUGAAAAGAUGGGCACACUAUUGGAUUGUUGGAAUUAUGUAUUAGCAUAAUCCUUCUGGAACUUCUCCCUAAAGAGAAUCUAGAGCUAUGUGUCUUCUUUCUGGAAGCUAGAGGCCAAAAGACACUUCUCUCAACAUUCUGCCAACUCUGCAUCUCAUGCAGGCUUAGGGAAUUAAGUACCAAUCUCUACCAAUGAAGAGAAAUGUACACAUGUGGGCUUUGAUAAGUGGAUUACAUCAGU